rnacentral:rRNA from 2 species
GAUGAACGCUGGCGGCGCGCCUAACACAUGCAAGUCGAACGGUUAAAGCACCUUUUAGGUGUGUAUAAAGUGGCGAACGGCUGAGUAACACGUGGGCAACCUGCCCUCCUCUUGGGGAUAGCCUCGGGAAACCGAGGAUAAUACCCGAUACUUCAAUGUGGCCGCAUGACGACAUUGAGAAAGCUUUUGCGGAGAAGGAUGGGCCCGCGGCCUGUUAGCUUGUUGGUGGGGUAGAGGCCUACCAAGGCAAUGAUGGGUAGCUGGGUUGAGAGACCGACCAGCCAGAUUGGGACUGAGACACGGCCCAGACUCCUACGGGAGGCAGCAGUGGGGAAUCUUGCACAAUGGGCGAAAGCCUGAUGCAGCGACGCCGCGUGCGGGACGAAGGCCUUUCGGGUUGUAAACCGCUUUUCAGCAGGGACGAGGCGAAAGUGACGGUACCUGCAGAAGAAGCCCA